CCUACGGGGGGCAGCAGUGGGGAAUAUUGCACAAUGGGGGAAACCCUGAUGCAGCGACGCCGCGUGAGUGAAGAAGUAAUUCGUUAUGUAAAGCUCUAUCAGCAGGGAAGAAAAUGACGGUACCUGAGUAAGAAGCCCCGGCUAACUACGUGCCAGCAGCCGCGGUAAUACGUAGGGGGCAAGCGUUAUCCGGAUUUACUGGGUGUAAAGGGAGCGUAGACGGCAGUGCAAGUCUGGAGUGAAAGGCGGGGGCUCAACCCCCGGACUGCUCUGGAAACUGUACGGCUUGAGUGCAGGAGAGGUAAGUGGAAUUCCUAGUGUAGCGGUGAAAUGCGUAGAUAUUAGGAGGAACACCAGUGGCGAAGGCGGCUUACUGGACUGUAACUGACGUUGAGGCUCGAAAACGUGGGGAGCAAACAGGAUUAGAUACCCCUGUAGUC
rnacentral:rRNA from 1 species